rnacentral:lncRNA from 1 species
CUCCACUCCGAGGAUCUUUACAGCACUGCAUCUGACGGCUGAGAAUAAAAGUGUCCUAAACACACAAGCUUGAAAAUCGCUUCACCUUACAGCCGAAACCUCCGUCUCUACGGGCAUGUGAAUGUGAGCACAUAUUUGUAUUUAUGGGGAGAAUUUAUGGGCUGUUUGCCUGUGUGCACCAAUGAUUCCAGGCUCAUCAGAGAACAUGUUGUAGAAACAGCAUGAAGAAAUUUAACAAGAAAAAAAGAAAACGGAUGGAAGAAAACUUAACCUUCGUGAGAGUCGUGUCAAUCUAUAAACUAGUAAAUGAUCACCUUUAUUACAGGUGUGCAAACCCAGGGAACAUGAGUCCUGGACUUGAGGAAUGGGGCAGAGGAAGAGAAGGUCAUUCAGUAACCACCCUCCACUCGGGGUAG